rnacentral:rRNA from 1 species
CCUACGGGAGGCAGCAGUGAGGAAUAUUGGUCAAUGGUCGGGAGACUGAACCAGCCAAGCCGCGUGAGGGAUGAAGGUACAGAGUAUCGUAAACCUCUUUUGUCAGGGAACAAAGGCGGGGACGUGUCCCGGAUGAGUGUACCUGAAGAAAAAGCAUCGGCUAACUCCGUGCCAGCAGCCGCGGUAAUACGGAGGAUGCGAGCGUUAUCCGGAUUUAUUGGGUUUAAAGGGUGCGCAGGCGGUCUGUUAAGUCAGCGGUAAAAGCCCGGGGCUCAACCCCGGCCCGCCGUUGAAACUGGCAGUCUCGAGUUGGAGAGAAGUAGGCGGAAUGCGCGGUGUAGCGGUGAAAUGCAUAGAUAUCGCGCAGAACUCCGAUUGAGAAGGCAGCAUGCCGGCUCCACACUGACGCUGAGGCACGAAAGCGUGGGUAUCGAACAGGAUUAGAUACCCUUGUAGUC